GCCUAUUUAUAAAUGGUGGAUAGAAAGCGAGGAUAGAGCAUAAAAGAAAGUGGAUGUGAUAUGAAGCAAAAUGAGGAGUCAUGAACCUCGUUCAAGCUCCUCAUGUGCAGCCUGCAAGUUCUUGAAAAGAAGAUGCAUACCCAAUUGCAUAUUCGCUCCAUAUUUUCGAUCUGAUGAGCCUAAAAAGUUUGCUAAAGUACACAAGGUCUUUGGUGCAAGCAAUGUGAGCAAGAUCUUGACUGAAGUUCCUGAAGAGCAACGAGAAGACACGGUUAAUUCUCUAGCUUAUGAGGCUGAAGCAAGGCUGAGAGACCCUGUCUAUGGUUGCAUUGGAGCUAUAGCUUUGUUGCAAAGAAAGAUGGUUGAGCUACAAUUUGAUCUUUCCAUUGCUAGAGCUCGUCUAGCGCGGUAUACUGCAAAUUAUUCUUCUUCUCCUAUCUUGAAUGAUCGCAGUAGCAUGACGACUCUCUCUGAAUUUCCUGUUGCUUGUGGUGUAUUGAUCGAGAGUUUUGGCCAGAAUUCAUCUGAGUUGAGUCAAAGUUGAGUCAAGAUGGACUCAUGAAUGAUUUUAGUCAAUUCCCAUAUACAUUUUGAUUUUUUUUUCUCUGCUGUCUCCCCUGUAUCUCAAAUACCCUCUUCUCUCUACUGUUGGUGUCAAUUUCAUGAACUUGGCCUUCAGUUUAUGUUUCCAAUCAAGAUUUAAGUAAGAAUUCCGCGGGAAAUUCUCUCAAUAAUCAAAAUUUUGAAGUUCCGUUC
rnacentral:misc_RNA from 1 species